CUCCCCUUCUUCUUAAUGUGGAACACAAUGAACUAAUUCCAUAAGAAGCAAUUCAGAGAAAAGUGAAAAUGUAAUUUACCGGGGUUCAGCUAGGACGCCCAUCUUGUUCUAAAUCCAACAAGUUGAUCACAUGUGAGGGGCCUCAGCGUACCCUAAAAUAUAUCCAUUAAUUCCCAGAGAUUAAAAUCCAUGUGCUUAAAAACAACCACAACAAAAAUACCAGCUGCCUUUUGAAAGCAAGGGCGUUGGGAAAUGAAUGGAAUCUCAUGCUCCUGCUCUGUGUUCAAGAGCUUCGAUGGCUACUGUGUUACAUCAGGAACGGCCAGUGCCUGGACCCCACCCUCCCCCACUCCCUUUUAAUUCAAUGGCUACGUGGGGGCUUCUUUGAUGGAGGCUUUGAAGUCGGUGGCUUUGAGAUUACUCUUCCUCUGUGACCUUGACCACCAGCCAUGAGAUGCUAGAACACCUGUGUAUGAAUACAUGGCUCCUGGGUCAUAUCCUCGUGGACAGCUCUGUUCCAGAAGGGCCUGUGCGGCUGUGCCACCAGCAAUCUUUCAACACUGAAAAGGACAAAGGAAAUCCAUUACUCUGUUACAAGAAGAAAGAAUUUCUAUGGCAAAAAGGAUGAUGAGAAGAAUGGCUAAUGGGUUUACAGGAACUCUUAACACAAAGCUGGGUGUUCAGACACCAAGAGUUUGUAAAAAAAAAGAAAAAAUACGCAAUCCAAGGCAAGCAGUCAAGGACCACAAGACAAUGUGUGUAUGAAGUAAGUCACUGAUACCUGUUUAGGAAUAAUAUGACAAGUUACAAAACAUUCCAUUUUGAGCCUCCUUUGCAUCAAUGAAGAAUCAUGAACUCUUUCC
rnacentral:lncRNA from 1 species